GCAUUGGAGGAAGUCCUUGUACCACACGGGGCCAACGGCCAUGAUGGAAGGGUUGGAAGGCUCAGAUCAGCCCCCAGGAUGUUAGCCACAAGAAGCCAAAAGACACAUUUGCCUCCAAAAGUCAAGUUGAAGUUGUGCCUUUUUCUGUCACUGUUGCUAUGGGAAUAGAAUGCCAGGACUGUGGCAGAAUCAUCUAAGUAGGAUGUUUCUUCCAAGCGGCGUAUCCGGGGGUCAUCGGAUGGGAUUGGGAGUUCCUCUGCCAGCAAGCAAGGGGGGUAAGCAGCUCAGCUCCCAGCCAAGAGGACUGUGCUCCGUAACCACAGUACCGACGUCCGUAUCAACGCAGCUACCCUCACUGGAAGAAGACAAAGUAUGUCCUAGAUGUUGGACAGCUGUGGGGAAGACUGGAAAGUCCCCGGGGUUGGUUCUGAGAGGCACUGGAGGUGGAGAAACUGUGACGGGAAAGAGGCGCCCUCCUACCUCCUGAACACAUCAGCUCUGCAGCCUUCGAUUUCCCCCAGGACCCAGCAUGAGAAAGGAGACAUUGCAGAGGCAGAUUAUUUUCCAUCCACAGUUUUAUUGACUGCAUGGAUUUGGAACCUGCCGACGUCAAGGGCUGGUCAUAUGCACAGCCAUCACGGGGGCCGGCACGGUGGCAAGUGAUGAGUAAGGAGGGGUGUGAGCCGAGCCGCAGCAAGCACACGGCAAGAGCGUGCAACAGCAGGACCUCCUUAAUUCCUGGGCCGCUGUUCUCCAAAACGGAAUGAUGAGGUGUCCCUAGAAUAAAUAUUCAAACUGGGGAGGGGAUUAAAGGACU
rnacentral:lncRNA from 1 species